GUCACCAGCUGCGGGGGAUGGGCGCGGGGGAGGGAGAACCUGUCACCUCCUGCCUUGGUCAGUUCUGCCCCAGACCUGACACCUGCAGAGGGUAGGGGCCUUGGGCAAUUACAAGUCCAGUAAGCGUCCGGUUUUGGACCCUCCCCCUCACAUUCCUGCCACUCACCAAACUUUGUGGAGUAGAAAAGUGAGGCCUGCCAAAGCUUGCUUGCGUGCAGAUCAUAGACGGCCUAUAAAAGGACUAUGCUGUUUUAACUCGCGCCGCUGAUCUCCUGUUCCUGUGGAGUGUGAGUUUGGCCGAUUGCAACCGUAAAAGAAUCUUUACCUUGCUGCAUCUCUGUCUCUGAGACUGACUGGGUCCCGUCUCCGAGACCACAACAAUUUCAAGCUCAGGGUCCAGUGAGUGGCUCCGGAUCAUUGAUGGAGCACGUCCUGCAUGCCAGACCACAGUGAGCAAAAGGAAGAGUAACCUCACCCUGUCCUCCCCAAGCUUCCACUCCUGGAAGACAGUUAGCUCGUUCCAGAAAGCUGUGAUAGUGAAACCCAGGAGGGCUGUGGUGGCAACAGCAGGUGUAGCCUGCCUAGACCUUGGAUUGAGAAUGAUGUCCAGUGAGAACCAGAGACGUGCAGAACUGUGUGACUCAUACCUGUAAUCCCAGCACUGGGAGGCUGAGGCAGGAGGAUCAAGAAUUCAAGCUCAUCCUUGCCUUCCUGUCAACUUCAAGCAUUGGACAUUGAAGUCAGAGCCUGUGUGUGCUUGGAAAACACUCUCCACCUGAGCUGCCACCCAACCGUUUUCACUGUGGAUAAGCCAUCUGAUACACCCACAGCAAGUACAAGUGUUCAGAUUU